CUAAUGCAUUUGGCACAGCAUAAGCAGUAGGUCAAUAUUACGUGCCGUCACAGUACAGUGAAAAUAUAGAAAAUCCAAACGUUGUUUUAACGGUAACUUGUCAACACAAAACUAACUUUUAUUUUUUUUUGGUCUGAUACAUUUAAUUUCAUGAUACAUUGUUUUAAUUGGACAGUAGCGAUAUAUUAUAUGAAUCCCUUUAAGGGUCACUCAUGAAAUACUGUAAUAUACUUGAAACUCUUUAUUAAUUAGUUUGUCACUGUUUUGUGACUCGUUACUUAGUAACAGUUUAUAAAUGCCUUUAUGGAUCAGAAUAUAUAGACAUCAUAUUCAAUUGACGUGACAUAUAGUUAUUGGGUAAUAUAAAUUGCUUUAUUUCUGCGGAAAAUCUCAUCCAGGUAAUGCUAAUCCACAAAGGCUGAAUCAAGGCAAAAAAAAACAAAAAAAAAAGUCAUCGUUUGCAGAACAUUUGCUAUAAACACUUUGACGAGUAAGUCGCACCUAGUUCUUUCUCUAACACAAACAAUCACAUUAAGCUCCACAUCCUGGUGAUCAUUUUAAUUUGCAAAGCCAUUACAUAUUAAGAAGCCAUGGUGGGCGACUGGUUAACACAUCUGCCUCACAGUUCUGAGGACCGGGGUUCAAAGCCCGACCCGCCGAUGUGGAGUUUGCAUAUUCUCCCCAUGCCUGCGGGGGUUUUCUCCGUACUCCGGUUUCCUCCCACAUCCCGAAAACAUGCAUGUUCAGGGUGUACCCCGCCUCUCGCCCACAGAUAGCUGGGAUAGGCUCCAGCACUCCCGCGACCCUAGUGAGGAGAAGCGGAACAGAAAAUGGAUGGAUGGAUGGAUUACCUAUUAAAUGGCAAUUUUGGCAAGCUCUUCAAUGGUAUGGUGGUAAAACUGCAACUUAAAAAACAAAACUACAACUAAUUGUUCUUAUUAUAGUAUACUGGUGGUGUUGUGACAACUUUGCAUGACUAUUUCAUUGUUUGUAACUGGACACGAUCACCACUCUAAAAACAGACUUCUUUCUCUGUAUACUUUUGUUUAAAAACAAUUGUCACAAAACUUCUCUUUUCAUUACAGCCCGAACAACUAGUACAUCGUUGCAUUUCCUAAUUUAGUAUUAAGAUGUUUUCUUCUUUCUUUAUCCAUUGUAAAAGGUUGACUAGGUCGCGGUUACUGAAAAAUAAGUACACAAUAAAGGCGUAACAUUAUGACAAUA